AGGACUUUCUGGCCUUCUUGGGAGGAAUCGGGAGCAUCAAAUGGAAGCGAGUUUUUCAUUGCAUUGGCAACCUACAACGAUAACCACUGAUCUGGCAAGGGCUGUAAACUAGUACACCAUCUUCCUCCCUUCUCUACUGGUGUGGGCUGGAGCAACCUGGACAGACAGAUAAGACUGACCAGCUCAUCAGAAGACCUGUUGCCUGUUCCGAGGCUGAUGGAGGGGGAAAAGCUCUGGGCAGUGAAGAGUCUGAGAGCAGUCUCGACGCCCACAGGAGAUGCUGCCACCUCAAAGAUGCUGGUGUGUAGCAAACCUUUCGUGGUACUUUACAUACAUUUCAAAUAACCCAGUGGGCUCUCUGACUCUCGCUUUCUCAAGUCCAUGUGUGGACUGCAAGCCAAGAAGAGCACCUUCACCGGGAACCUAACUGGCCAGCACCUGGAUCGUGGACUUUCCAGUCUCCAGAACUGUUUGACUAUUACCGGUUCUGCGCAGUGAAUGUUUCUCUCUGAGGAUGAAGAUCACUGUAAACAACUCUGAUGAGGUCAUGCUGACACA